UACGUAGGGUGCAAGCGUUAAUCGGAAUUACUGGGCGUAAAGCGUGCGCAGGCGGUUGUGCAAGACAGAUGUGAAAUCCCCGGGCUCAACCUGGGAACUGCAUUUGUGACUGUAUAGCUAGAGUACGGCAGAGGGGGAUGGAAUUCCGCGUGUAGCAGUGAAAUGCGUAGAUAUGCGGAGGAACACCGAUGGCGAAGGCAAUCCCCUGGGCCUGUACUGACGCUCAUGCACGAAAGCGUGGGGAGCAAACAGG
rnacentral:rRNA from 1 species